rnacentral:rRNA from 1 species
UACGAAGGGGGCUAGCGUUGCUCGGAAUCACUGGGCGUAAAGCGCACGUAGGCGGCUUUUUAAGUCAGGGGUGAAAUCCUGGAGCUCAACUCCAGAACUGCCUUUGAUACUGAGAAGCUUGAGUCCGGGAGAGGUGAGUGGAACUGCGAGUGUAGAGGUGAAAUUCGUAGAUAUUCGCAAGAACACCAGUGGCGAAGGCGGUUCACUGGUCCGGUACUGACGCUGAGGUGCGAAAGCGUGGGGAGCAAACAGG